AUUCAGUAAUUAGAGCCUGGGAAUCUUGACAUGGGAUAACAUUUGCUUAUCUCUGAGCAGAUGUGAGUCAGCCUCACUGCCCUUUGGACUUCUGACAUGACCCAGCAUCUCCUAAUUUAAACAGAAGAGACCUGACCAUAAUAAAAAUCUAAAACUGUCCGCACGGUCCACCCCGAGAUUGGUGGAAGCUCUUUUCUUCGGUUUCACUUAGCUGUUCAUCUGAGUGUUCUUUUGAAUAAAAUCCUGAGGUGAAAGCUCCUCUGAGUUCCUGGUGUGUGCUUUCAUUAAGGAUACUCAAAACCUGUCAUUAGAAAGUUCCUGAUGCAUCAGACCAUUACUAUGUAUAAAACCGAUGAACGCUGUCUUUGAUCUGUUUUGUUUGCUUAAGUUUCUUCCAUGAGAGGUCAUUCAUUUUCUUACUAGUUUUUCAGGUCCUUUUCUGAAGCGUUAAGACUUUCACACUCAAAGUUUCCUUUUAACAGAAACUCACCUGAUUAAUGAUGCCAUUGAAUAAAGCUAUUUUCAGGGCAGUACAUUAUACAAAUAGAGGAUUUUAUUUAUAAAUAGUUAUAUAUGUGUCGUUGAAUAUUUAUUGCCUUUAUUUCCCUUUAGGUGUCUUAUAAGAUUUUAAGUAACUUUAGUGUUUGUCAUCUGAAAGAAAUAAGAAUUACCUGUGAUAUUUGGAUUCUGAUGUGGUCUGGCUAACUUCCCUCAUACUUAUAGAAAUCAGACCUGGAAUGGCCAAAUAUCAAGGUGAAGUUCAGAGUUUGAAACUGGAUGAUGAUUCAGUCAUAGAAGGAGUAAGUGACCAGGUGCUUGUGGCGGUUGUGGUCAGUUUCGCUUUGAUUGCUACCCUGGUAUAUGCACUUUUCA